rnacentral:rRNA from 1 species
GACGAACGCUGGCGGCGUGCUUAACACAUGCAAGUCGAGCGGAAAGGCUCCUUCGGGGGUACUCGAGCGGCGAACGGGUGAGUAACACGUGAGUAAUCUGCCCUGUGCUCUGGGAUAGCCACCGGAAACGGUGAUUAAUACCGGAUACAACCACUAUCCGCAUGGGUUGGUGGUGGAAAGUUUUUUCGGCACAGGAUGUGCUCGGCGGCCUAUCAGCUUGUUGGUGAGGUAAUGGCUCACCAAGGCUUUGACGGGUAGCCGGCCUGGGGGGGUAACCGGUAACAGUGGGACUGAGACACGGCCCAGACUCCUACGGGAGGCAGCAGUGGGGAAUACUGGACAAUGGGCGGAAGCCUGAUCCAGCAACGCCGCGUGAGGGAUGACGGCCUUCGGGUUGUAAACCUCUUUCAGUACCGACGAAGCGCAAGUGACGGUAGGUACAGAAGAAGGACCGGCCAACUACGUGCCAGCAGCCGCCGUAACAC